GUUAUUACAUGCUUAUUCAAUAUAACAUAACCUCGUAAAAUUAGUUGUUUUGUUUAUAUUUAAACAUUUGUAAAAAUAAGAGUUAAUAGAGCCCAUUCUUUGUAUUUCUGAAAUGGUUUUAUGUUGCUUUUGUUAAGUGUUCUUUCAUAGUAAUAAAAGUAAAGUUAUGUCAACAAAUAAAACAGAUGAUUAUUGGAAUAGAAGCUUAAGCACUGGGUUCAGUUUUGAUGAUGAAGAUGAUACUUCGAAAGGGCUGUUUACAAACAGUACACUUACUUUUGAGGCAAACUCAAUUGAAUCAGCUUUCUCAUCAUCACCACUGGACACUGAUUUAUAUGUUUUACCUAUUCAAACAGUUAUAUCAAAAAAGAACUUAGAUGCUGUAAGCCUGCAUAUAGAGAAGUAAAAGAGACUAUCAAAAGAAUGGUACUAAACCAACCGUAUAACUUGAUAUGUUAUCAUUCAUUAAUGGAAAAAGAAGAAUUACUUGAUGAAGCCACCACCACUAUGGAUGGUGAUGUUAUAUUAAAUGUUGUUCUAUUUUUAUUGAAUACAUUAAAUUCAUCAAAUUUUCAUCGUAUAAUAAGUAAAAGGAAAGAAGCAUGGCACCAGUACUUAUCAUACUUAGGGAGCAGAUUGCAAACCCAACAAUUAUCAAAUACACUAUUGUCAGUGGGAUCUAGUUCAGAAAUUAUUGAGAUAUUUUAUAUGGCUAGCGUAGAUAUUCCAAGUGUUGAAGGAGUGUUAUCAAAAUUAGGGCAUUUUAUUGUGGAACAUUUUGGAGAAAUUGUUUCAGAGAGGGAAAAAUCUGUUUUACUUGAUUAUCAAAAUUUUUUAAAGUGGCAAAAAACUGAAAAUAGUAAAAGCCAAUCAGUAACAGAAGAACUGACAAAUCUAUGCAAUAGCACUUGGAAAAGUAAAGGUGCUGACGAAAAUAAAAUUAUAGAAUUUAAAAAAUUGAUGAAAAUAAGCGACUUGCAGUACGAAUGGGUUCUUUUAAAUACAUUGGCUGCUGCAGAACAGUGGGACAAAAUAUUGUCAAUGUUUAUU